rnacentral:RNase_P_RNA from 1 species
GCAGAUGGCCAGGCGUUCGCUGCGUCAGUUUCUGGCGGAGAGGAAAGUCCGGGCUCCACAGGACACGAUGGUGGGUAACGCCCACCGUCCGCGAGGAUAGGGCAAGUGCAACAGAAAGCAAACCGCCUGAAUGACACUCUUCUUUGAGGUGUGUUGUGAGGCGAAGUCGGCAACGACUUUCCAGGUAAGGGUGAAACGGUGCGGUAAGAGCGCACCAGCGAUUCAGGUGACUGAGUCGGCUGGGUAAACCCCAUCGGGAGCAAAGCUAAGCAGAAGGAUGUGUGUCCUCGGACGCACGCGAUUCGGUCCGGGUUGUUUCCUUCGGGUCAGCUGCUGGAGGUGUCGAGCAAUUGGCACCGUAGAUAAAUGAACGCCCGCGACAGGCAACUGUCGUCGACAAAACCCGGCUUAUCGGCCAUCUGCAGAC